ensembl:snoRNA Gm22725 predicted gene, 22725
CAUCCCCUUCAAGAAAAGAAAGGUGGGCCAUAGCUGCACACAGGAGCCUCCUUGGGAGUGCAUGUACCCUGUUGCCAACAUGGUUGUCCUAGGAGACCUUGGAAACAAUU